rnacentral:rRNA from 1 species
AGUGAACGCUGGCGGUAGGCCUAACACAUGCAAGUCGAACGGCAGCACAGUAAGAGCUUGCUCUUACGGGUGGCGAGUGGCGGACGGGUGAGGAAUACAUCGGAAUCUACUUUUUCGUGGGGGAUAACGUAGGGAAACUUACGCUAAUACCGCAUACGACCUACGGGGGAAAGCAGGGAAUCUUCGGACCUUUCGCGAUUGAAUGAGCCGAUGUCGGAUUAGCUAGUUGGCGGGGUAAAGGCCCACCAAGGCGACGAUCCGUAGCUGGUCUGAGAGGAUGAUCAGCCACACUGGAACUGAGACACGGUCCAGACUCCUACGGGAGGCAGCAGUGGGGAAUAUUGGACAAUGGGCGCAAGCCUGAUCCAGCCAUACCGCGUGGGUGAAGAAGGCCUUCGGGUUGUAAAGCCCUUUUGUUGGGAAAGAAAAGCAGCAGGUUAAUACCCCGCUGUUCUGACGGUACCCAAAGAAUAAGCACCGGCUAACUUCGUG